rnacentral:rRNA from 1 species
CCUACGGGUGGCAGCAGUAGGGAAUAUUGCUCAAUGGGCGAAACCCUGAAGCAGCAACGCCGCGUGGAGGAUGACGGUUUUCGGAUUGUAAACCCCUUUUGUUAGAGAAGAUAAUGACGGUAUCUAACGAAUAAGCACCGGCUAACUCCGUGCCAGCAGCCGCGGUAAUACGGAGGGUGCAAGCGUUACUAGGAAUCACUGGGCGUAAAGGGCGCGUAGGCGGGUUAGCAAGUCAGAUGUGAAAUCCUAUGGCUUAACCAUAGAACUGCAUUUGAAACUGUUAUUCUAGAGUAUGGGAGAGGUAGGUGGAAUUCGUGGUGUAGGGGUAAAAUCCGUAGAGAUCAAGAGGAAUACUCAUUGCGAAGGCGACCUGCUAGAACAUAACUGACGCUGAUGCGCGAAAGCGUGGGGAGCAAACAGGAUUAGAUACCCUUGUAGUC